rnacentral:rRNA from 1 species
GAUGAACGCUGGCGGCGUGCCUAAUACAUGCAAGUCGAACGCUGAAGGAGGAGCUUGCUCUUCUGGAUGAGUUGCGAACGGGUGAGUAACGCGUAGGUAACCUGCCUGGUAGCGGGGGAUAACUAUUGGAAACGAUAGCUAAUACCGCAUGACAACAGUUAUUGCAUGAUAACUGUUUAAAAGGGGCAACUGCUCCACUACCAGAUGGACCUGCGUUGUAUUAGCUAGUUGGUGAGGUAACGGCUCACCAAGGCGACGAUACGUAGCCGACCUGAGAGGGUGAUCGGCCACACUGGGACUGAGACACGGCCCAGACUCCUACGGGAGGCAGCAGUAGGGAAUCUUCGGCAAUGGACGGAAGUCUGACCGAGCAACGCCGCGUGAGUGAAGAAGGUUGUCGGAUCGUAAAGCUCUGUUGUAAGAGAAGAACGAGUGUGAGAGUGGAAAGUUCACACUGUGACGGUAGCUUACCAGAAAGGGACGGCUAACUACGUG